rnacentral:rRNA from 1 species
GAUGAACGCUGGCGGCGUGCUUAACACAUGCAAGUCGAACGAUGAUGCCCAGCUUGCUGGGUGGAUUAGUGGCGAACGGGUGAGUAACACGUGAGUAACCUGCCCUUGACUCUGGGAUAAGCCUGGGAAACUGGGUCUAAUACCGGAUACGACCAUCUGGCGCAUGUCAUGGUGGUGGAAAGCUUUUGUGGUUUUGGAUGGACUCGCGGCCUAUCAGCUUGUUGGUGGGGUAAUGGCCUACCAAGGCGACGACGGGUAGCCGGCCUGAGAGGGUGACCGGCCACUCUGGGACUGAGACACGGCCCCGACUCCUACGGGAGGCAGCAGUGGGGAAUAUUGCACAAUGGGCGCAAGCCUGAUGCAGCGACGCCGCGUGAGGGAUGACGGCCUUCGGGUUGUAAACCUCUUUCAGUAGGGAAGAAGCGAAAGUGACGGUACCUGCAGAAGAAGCGCCGGCUAACUACGUG